GCCAUUCAACAUUACAGUAUAAUUGAGAGCUAUCAAUUUUAAAAUUUAUUAAAAAAUAACAGCUUCUUAUUUAAGUGAAAAAUCAAUCUUAACAUAAUCCCAUUAAAAUGAAUGUCACAUUUACCCGUGCCCUUCAGCAAGUAGGAAAUAUACAGAAAUAGAAUAAAGUUUCAAACACUAAAUUCUAAAUUAAACAUAGAUGAAUCCUUAAAGCUACAAAAGUUAUUUAAUCUUUUUUCUUUUGUUCUUUGAUUAACAGACAUCACAGCAGCUCGGUUAUUAGGUUAUUUGACUGCUAUUACUUUAAGAGCUGUUGAUCUGACAUGCAUGUUCGUAGUUUCAUUCACACUUUAACAUGAAAUGAUACAGUCUACAGUGCACGCCGCUGCAUUUGUGUGUGCAAUUGAAGAGCAUGCAUUACAAGCACAGUAUAAUGGCUGACAGGACAAAACCUGACAAAAUCUCAUCUGACUGCAGUUCACUGUCGUUCUACUGAAGCUCCCUCAUCACAUCACCUAUACAAUUUCCGCACCCGUUUGACUAACACCUGUCACUGAGGUGAAGUGGAGUGUGUGUCUGAAAAGUCUCCUGUUUGAUGUGUUGGUAAAGAAGAAGUUAUGUUGUUGUUUGGGAAAUGUAGCCCCGCUUGUUGCUGAUUGAAUCCUGCCUUGAGCAGUGUGACUGCUGGAAUCUGUUUCUAUGGUGAUUUAGGAGGAUCCUGUCCUUUUUGAAAUUUUGUGUACUUACAAGCUGACCGUAUUGUUUUUCUCAGAAAGAGAAAUCCCUCGCUUCAGGAUGAGAACAGCUGUUCCAGCUGCCAGAGGGGACCUCUUUGAAGCACUGCUCAUGUGUACCACACAAGCAGUCAAAGCAUCAGAUAGUAAACCCAGGGACCACACACGGUCUAUUCAAAGAGCAUUUUGCUGGGGCCAAGCUUGUCUUCAGAUGGUUUACAGAUAAUAAGUAGCACAGUGGACCAGAUUUUAUGUAUAUGCUGGUUUGCAUAUACUGCAUGUUGUGUUGAUUUUAUGAACAUGACAGCUCAUCUACACACAGUCCUUCCAUUUGUACUUUGUCUACUGAAGUUUUGACUAUAUCCACUAGGUGGCACAAUACAACUCUUCAAAUCUUGUUUCCCAAUAGUCCCCAUCUGCUUCAACUGGAAACUCCACUAUAAAUUUGCCAGCUUAAGUAUGCUGUCUGUGAUGAAUAGUGUCCUCUCAUUUAUGUAUUUUCAUGACUUUGUUAUCGUGGUGGAGACAAAACUUAUUUUGAGAAGACUGUAGAAAAUAAAUAAAAUAAAGACAUUUGAUAUGAAUAUGAUUCAGAGUGCUCGGGCUCUGCCAAGCCUGUCGACUACUGCCGCCUACAUGUGCCUAUGGAAGGCAGAUGAGCUGUGUAAUCUAUAUUAAGAUUGAAAUGGCAGCGUCCACAUCGACUUAUUUUCCCUGGACUCUGCAGCAUUAAUGUAACCUCCAUUUAAUGAUGCAAAGCAGAUUAAAGAUAGCUUUAUGGGAAAUCUCCAAUGGAAUGGUUGAAAUUCACCUCUUUAGGAUGCACGACUGAGGUCAGUAUUUAUUGACGUGACUUUAGGAAAAAACAUUUGCAUGUGAUCUACAUUA